CUACGGGUGGCUGCAGCGGGGAAUAUUGCACAAUGGGCGAAAGCCUGAUGCAGCGAUGCCGCGUGAGGGAAGAAGGUCUUCGGAUUGUAAACCUCUGUUUUCAGGGACGAUAAUGACGGUACCUGAGGAGGAAGCUCCGGCUAACUACGUGCCAGCAGCCGCGGUAAUACGUAGGGAGCGAGCGUUGUCCGGAAUUACUGGGUGUAAAGGGAGUGUAGGCGGGAAAACAAGUCAGAUGUGAAAACUAUGGGCUCAACCUGUAGACUGCAUGUGAAACUGUUUUUCUUGAGUGAAGUAGAGGGAAGCGGAAUUCCUAGUGUAGCGGUGAAAUGCGUAGAUAUUAGGAGGAACAUCAGUGGCGAAGGCGGCUUACUGGGCUUUUACUGACGCUGAGGCUCGAAAGCGUGGGGAGCAAACAGGAUUAGAUACCCCAGUAGUC
rnacentral:rRNA from 1 species